ACAGUGCCAUGGCCGUCUGAGCUAAGGUUUCUGAUAAAAACACAAAGGCGCAGAAAUCUGCGCCUUUUUU
rnacentral:sRNA from 1 species